UACGUAGGGGGCAAGCGUUGUCCGGAAUCAUUGGGCGUAAAGAGCGUGUAGGCGGCCCGAUAAGUCCGCCGUGAAAGUCCAGGGCUCAACCCUGGAAUGCCGGUGGAAACUGUCGGGCUGGAGUCCGGAAGAGGCGAGUGGAAUUCCUGGUGUAGCGGUGAAAUGCGCAGAUAUCAGGAGGAACACCAGUGGCGAAGGCGGCUUCCUGGCCUGUUCUUGACGCUGAGGCGCGAAAGCUAGGGGAGCAAACGGG
rnacentral:rRNA from 1 species